UACGUAGGGUGCAAGCGUUAAUCGGAAUUACUGGGCGUAAAGCGUGCGCAGGCGGUUGUGCAAGACCGAUGUGAAAUCCCCGGGCUUAACCUGGGAAUGGCAUUGGUGACUGCACGGCUAGAGUGUGUCAGAGGGGGGUAGAAUUCCACGUGUAGCAGUGAAAUGCGUAGAGAUGUGGAGGAAUACCGAUGGCGAAGGCAGCCCCCUGGGCCAAUACUGACGCUCAUGCACGAAAGCGUGGGGAGCAAACAGG
rnacentral:rRNA from 1 species